rnacentral:tRNA from 1 species
GGGGCCGUAGCUCAGCUUGGAUGGAGCGGUGCCCUCCUAAGGCAAAGGUCGAGGGUUCAAAUCCCUCCGGUCCCGC